GUCCUUUGGUUAGUGAUGAUGAUGUAUUCCCACUGUCUCCCCCAGAUAUGUCCUUCCCAGCAUCUUUGGCUGCACAGCAUUUCCUUCUGGAAGAAGAGAAACGAGCAAAAGAACUUGAAAAACUUCUAAAUACACAUAUUGAUGAACUGCAAAGACACACAGAAUUUACUCUUAAUAAAUACUCCAAGCUAAAACAAAAUAGACACAUAUGAGCUUUUAAACUUUUUUAUUUGCUUCCCCCCCCCACCCCCGCCAAGAAAAAAAGCUCUGGCAAAAUAUUUACAAAGCUGAUUAAUGAAACCAAGAAAUUCUGUUCUGUUUCCUUGAGUAAAUAAUUUCCGUAAGGCAGCUAGAAAAUAGUAAGUAUUUUGUUCUAUAAAGCUGUUCACAUUUCUGCAUUAACAUGCUAAAUUGUCCUGCUGUAGAGUUACUAUAAAAUAAACAUGACUAUUCCAAAAGAGAUUUUUUUCCAGUCUAAGGAAUAUUUUGGAAUCAAAUAUGCAGUUUUUUUUCCCCACUUGAAUCAUGUAUACUGAAAACCCAUUUCCUCAGCAACUACACAAAAUAAGAGAAAGGGAAGUGCUAUAUUCCAGAUACAAAUGACUCAAAGGCAGCUCAGUUGUACUGGUUUUGAAAACUCAAGGAUUUUAUAAAUAAAAAUAUUUAAGUAUUUCCAGUUAUGUAAACACUCUAAAAUUCUAUAAUUUUUUGGAAAAAAAAAGCUAUAGCUUUAUUGUUUUUACAUUCACCUUUAUAAUGUCUGUCUGUUUCAACACAAUGAAGGUAUAUGGAAUGUGCAAUUUACAAACCUAAAAUAUAUGUGCCAAAAAUUAACGCUUUUUUGUUAGUACUAAUUACUUCAUGGACACAAACAAGAUAAAGGAAAUAUAAAGCAUUACUGUUGCUACAUUUUCCUUUGUAAUCACUUCUGUUUUUAAUACAAUAAAGGAAUGUAAAAUUCA
rnacentral:lncRNA from 1 species